rnacentral:tRNA from 1 species
CCCUGGCUAGCUCAGUUGGUAGAGCGUCAGACUUUUAAUCUGAAUGUCCAGCGUUCAAGUCCCUGGUUGGGUG